rnacentral:lncRNA from 1 species
AGGACCUGCACCAGCCCUGGUCUCUGAGUUCCCUCAGUAUUUACUGAUCAUUAUUUUUACUAUCUUGGUGAGGGGAGUGUAGCAGGGCAACAGGUGGUGAGAACGUCAGCAGGGAAACAUGUGAGCAAAGGAAUCUUUAUCAUGAAUAAGUUCAAGGAAAGGUACUAUGCCCAGAUGUGCACGUAGGCCAGAUUUGUUUCACGUUACACAAACAUCUCAGUGUAGCAAAGAGUAACAGAGCAGUAUUGCUGCCAGCAUAUCUUGCCUCUAGCCACAGAGCGGUUUUCUCCUAUCUUAGAAUAGAACGAAUGGGAAUGGUCGGCUUUACACUGAGACAUUCCAUUCCCAGGGACGAGCAGGAGACAGAUGCCUUCCUCUUAUCUCAACUGCAAAGAGGCCUCCCUCUUUCACUACUCCUCAGCACAGACCCUUUACUGGUGUCGGGCUGGGGGAUGGUAAGAUCUUUCCUUUCCCACGAGGCCAUAUCUCAGGCUGUCUCAGUGGGGGGAAACCUUGGACAAUUCCCAGGCUUUCCUGGGCAGAGGUCCUGGGGGACAGAAAUUUGGGGGGACCCAAGCCAGCCCGACAAUGGCCUUUGCCCAUGUGCUGUCACAUAGAUCCCUUCCCUUUCUGGUCACUGUUUUUGGAAAGCCAGUCCAGGCAAACUCCAGGUUCUCCCUUCUCUCCCUCCCACCCAGGCCUCACCCUCAGGGUGCUGGGAUGUCCUGCUAAGGGUGUGGUCUGCUUACCUCCCCCUCGUUCUUGGGGGCCAGGCUUGGAAUCUAGCUGAGGCAGAGCCUACCUGCUGUCCUUCUUCCUCAGAUAUAAAACACCUGAAUUUUAGUGGGCGCAUGGCUGCCCAGAGCAACUCUGCCUUCCUGAGCAUCCUGGCACUGGAUGUGCCUGAUGACUUCGUUCAGGCCAACAGAGUGAGAGCAGCAGUGGCAG